rnacentral:rRNA from 1 species
AAAAGUCGUAACAAGGUUUCCGUAGGUGAACCUGCGGAAGGAUCAUUAUUGAAAUAAACCUGAUGGGUUGUUGCUGGUUCUCUAGGGAGCAUGUGCACACUUGUCAUCUUUAUAUCUCCACCUGUGCACCUUUUGUAGAUCUGAAUAGCUUUCUGAAUGCCUAGCAUUUGGGUUUGAAGAUUGACNUUUCUGUCUCUCUUUACUUUCAGGUCUAUGUUUCUCCAUAUACCCCAAUGUAUGUUAUAGAAUGUAGUAAAUGGGCCUUUGUUGCCUAUAAAUCUAUACAACUUUCAGCAACGGAUCUCUUGGUUCUCGCAUCGAUGAAGAACGCAGCGAAAUGCGAUAAGUAAUGUGAAUUGCAGAAUUCAGUGAAUCAUCGAAUCUUUGAACGCACCUUGCGCUCCUUGGUAUUCCGAGGAGCAUGCCUGUUUGAGUGUCAUUAAUAUAUCAACCUCUUCAGCUUUGUUUGUUGAGUGUUGGAUGUGGGGGUAUUCUUUUUUUGCUGGUCUCUCUUUGAGGUCAGCUCCCCUAAAAUAUAUUAGCGGGACAAUUUGUUGACCGUUCAUUGGUGUGAUAACUAUCUACGCUAUUGACGUGAGGCAGGUUCAGCUUCUAACAGUCCAUUGACUUGGACAAAUCUUUCAUUAAUGUGACCUCAAAUCAGGUAGGACUACCCGCUGAACUUAAGCAUAUCAAUAAGCGGAGGAAAAGAAACUAACAAGGAUUCCCCUAGUAACUGCGAGUGAAGCGGGAAAAGCUCAAAUUUAAAAUCUGGCAGCCUUUGGUUGUC